AAUCCAUAGGUUAAUGAGGCGAACCGGGGGAACUGAAACAUCUAAGUACCCCGAGGAAAAGAAAUCAACCGAGAUUCCCCCAGUAGCGGCGAGCGAACGGGGAGGAGCCCAGAGCCUGAAUCAGCAUGUGUGUUAGUGGAAGCGUCUGGAAAGGCGCGCGAUACAGGGUGACAGCCCCGUACACAAAAGCGCAUGUGUUGUGAGCUCGAUGAGUAGGGCGGGACACGUGGUAUCCUGUCUGAAUAUGGGGGGACCAUCCUCCAAGGCUAAAUACUCCUGACUGACCGAUAGUGAACCAGUACCGUGAGGGAAAGGCGAAAAGAACCCCGGCGAGGGGAGUGAAAAAGAACCUGAAACCGUGUACGUACAAGCAGUGGGAGCACAGGUUUACCUGUGUGACUGCGUACCUUUUGUAUAAUGGGUCAGCGACUUAUAUUCUGUAGCAAGGUUAACCGUAUAGGGGAGCCGGAGGGAAACCGAGUCUUAAUUGGGCGUUAAGUUGCAGGGUAUAGACCCGAAACCCGGUGAUCUAGCCAUGGGCAGGUUGAAGGUUGGGUAACACUAACUGGAGGACCGAACCGACUAAUGUUGAAAAAUUAGCGGAUGACCUGUGGCUGGGGGUGAAAGGCCAAUCAAACCGGGAGAUAGCUGGUUCUCCCCGAAAGCUAUUUAGGUAGCGCCUCGUGAAUUCAUCUCCGGGGGUAGAGCACUGUUUCGGCUAGGGGGCCAUCCCGGCUUACCAACCCGAUGCAAACUGCGAAUACCGGAGAAUGUUAUCACGGGAGACACACGGCGGGUGCUAACGUCCGUCGUGAAGAGGGAAACAACCCAGACCGCCAGCUAAGGUCCCAAAGUCAUGGUUAAGUGGGAAACGAUGUGGGAAGGCCCAGACAGCCAGGAUGUUGGCUUAGAAGCAGCCAUCAUUUAAAGAAAGCGUAAUAGCUCACUGGUCGAGUCGGCCUGCGCGGAAGAUGUAACGGGGCUAAACCAUGCACCGAAGCUGCGGCAGCGACACUGUGUGUUGUUGGGUAGGGGAGCGUUCUGUAAGCCUGUGAAGGUGUGUCGUGAGGCAUGCUGGAGGUAUCAGAAGUGCGAAUGCUGACAUAAGUAACGAUAAAGCGGGUGAAAAGCCCGCUCGCCGGAAGACCAAGGGUUCCUGUCCAACGUUAAUCGGGGCAGGGUGAGUCGACCCCUAAGGCGAGGCCGAAAGGCGUAGUCGAUGGGAAACGGGUUAAUAUUCCCGUACUUGGUGUUACUGCGAAGGGGGGACGGAGAAGGCUAUGUUGGCCGGGCGACGGUUGUCCCGGUU
rnacentral:rRNA from 1 species